GACGAACCGUGCGAACGUUGUUCGGAAUCACUGGGCUUAAAGGCGCGUAGGCGGCUCUGAAAGUCCGGGGUGAAAGCCCCCAGCUUAACUGGGGAAGUGCCUCGGAUACUGCGGAGCUCGAGGGAGGUAGGGCGGAUGGAACUUCCGGUGGAGCGGUGAAAUGCGUUGAUAUCGGAAGGAACGCCGGUGGCGAAAGCGAUCCGCUGGCCCUCUACUGACGCUGAGGCGCGAAAGCCAGGGGAGCAAACGGG
rnacentral:rRNA from 1 species